rnacentral:rRNA from 1 species
GAUUAACGCUGGCGGCGUGCAUGAAACAUGCAAGUCGAGCGCGGCACCUUCGGGUGUCUAGCGCGCACGGGUGAGUAACACGUGAGCAACCUACCUCCGAGUUCGGGAUAGCCCUGAGAAAUCAGGAUUAAUACCGGAUGGUGUCAUCUCGAGGCAUCUCGAGAUGAACAAAGGCGCAAGCCGCUCGAUGACGGGCUCGCGGCCUAUUAGCUUGUUGGUGGGGUCACGGCCUACCAAGGCGAAG